CACAGUGAAUGGUGGUGCAGGCUCAAAGGGCCAAAUGACCUGCUCCUGCACCAUUCAGCCACAUUAAAAUAAGAGCAUGUGGAGGUGCAUUUGUGGAAAUGAAAAGCCUCUUGCAUCGGCGGGGGCACUGUGCUGCCAGAGUUCGACAGGUAAGUAUUUGGUGGCAGAUUUAACUGAGCAGCUGGCUCAGUAUGAACAACUGGUAGUGCAGCUGCAAAACGACAUUCAGGACAAAGAGACCCAGCUACACGUGAGAGAUCAACAGCUUAAGGUAACAUCAAUUCCAGUUGAAUAUUUGUUACCCUCACUGAGUGAGCUAUUACAGUGAUCUGUGUACUUUGUGUUUGCAUUUCUGCAGUUGGAUUUCACUUUAAAGCCUGAAAAUUCAGUCCAAAGUAUUGCAAGUUUUCUUUUUAACAAUAACAAUUAACAAUGCCUCUUAUUUUCUAAAGCAAAGACUAUUGUUAAACC